AACGAACGCUGGCGGCAUGCCUAACACAUGCAAGUCGAACGAGACCUUCGGGUCUAGUGGCGCACGGGUGCGUAACGCGUGGGAACCUGCCCUUAGGUUCGGAAUAACUCCCCGAAAGGGGUGCUAAUACCGGAUAAUGUCUUCGGACCAAAGAUUUAUCGCCUUUGGAUGGGCCCGCGUUGGAUUAGCUAGUUGGUAGGGUAAAAGCCUACCAAGGCGACGAUCCAUAGCUGGUCUGAGAGGAUGAUCAGCCACACUGGGAAUGAGACACGGCCCAGACUCCUACGGGAGGCAGCAGUGGGGAAUAGUGGACAAUGGGCGAAAGCAUGAUCCAGCAAUGCCGCGUGAGUGAUGAAAGCCUUAGGGUUGUAAAGCUCUUUUACCCGGGAUGAUAAUGACAGUACCGGGAGAAUAAGCUCCGGCUAACUCCGUG
rnacentral:rRNA from 1 species